UACAGAGGCCUCGAGCGUUAGGCGGAAUCACUGGGCUUAAAGCGUGUGUAGGCGGACUUCUAAGUACCUUGUGAAAUCCCACGGCUCACCCGUGGAACUGCUCGGUAUACUGGUCGUCUUGAGCCUUCUAGGGGCGAGUGGAACAAAUGGUGGAGCGGUGAAAUGCGUAGAUAUCAUGUGGAACGCCAAUGGUGAAAACAACUCGCUGGGGAAGUGCUGACGCUGAGACACGAAAGCCAGGGGAGCGAACGGG
rnacentral:rRNA from 1 species